rnacentral:rRNA from 1 species
UGGGGGAAUAUUGGGCAAUGGGCGCAAGCCUUACCCAGCAAUGCCGCGUGAAUGAAGAAGGUCUUCGGAUUGUAAAGUUCUCUAGUCAGGGACGAAAAAAUGACGGUACCUGAAGAAUAAGCCCCGGCUAACUACGUGCCAGCAGCCGCGGUAAUACGUAGGGGGCAAGCGUUGUCCGGAAUGACUGGGCGUAAAGGGUGUGUAGGCGGUUUGGCAAGUUGGGAGUGAAAUACCUAGGGCUCAACCCAGGUGCUGCUUUCAAAACUGUUAGACUUGAGUGCAGGAGAGGUUAAUGGAAUUCCUAGUGUAGCGGUGGAAUGCGUAG